UGGGGAAUAUUGGACAAUGGGGGAAACCCUGAUCCAGCAAUGCCGCGUGAGUGAUGAAGGCCUUAGGGUUGUAAAGCUCUUUUACCCGGGAUGAUAAUGACAGUACCGGGAGAAUAAGCUCCGGCUAACUCCGUGCCAGCAGCCGCGGUAAUACGGAGGGGGCAAGCGUUGUUCGGAUUUACUGGGCGUAAAGGGCGCGUAGGCGGGGUAUCAAGUUAGGGGUGAAAGCCCGGGGCUCAACCUCGGAACUGCCUUUAAAACUGAUACUCUAGAGUCCGGAAGAGGGUCGCGGAAUUCCCAGUGUAGAGGUGAAAUUCGUAGAUAUUGGGAAGAACACCGGUGGCGAAGGCGGCGACCUGGUCCGGUACUGACGCUGAGGCGCGAAAGCGUGGGGAGCAAACAGGAUUAGAUACCCGCGUAGUCC
rnacentral:rRNA from 1 species